UACGGGGGGAGCAAGCGUUGUUCGGAUUUACUGGGCGUAAAGGGCGCGUAGGCGGUCAGCACAAGUCAGUUGUGAAAAUCUCCGGGCUUAACUCGGAAAGGUCAACUGAUACUGUGCGACUAGAGUGCAGAAGGGGCAACUGGAAUUCUCGGUGUAGCGGUGAAAUGCGUAGAUAUCGAGAGGAACACCUGCGGCGAAGGCGGGUUGCUGGGCUGACACUGACGCUGAGGCGCGAAAGCCAGGGGAGCGAACGGG
rnacentral:rRNA from 1 species